UCCAUAGAGCCUAGAACAAUCCUUGACACUCAGUGAAUCUGUUGAAUGGAUGAGGGGAUGAAUUAACCUGUUCUUGUUUCUUUUCUUUUCUUUUUCUUUUCUAGACAGGGAUCUUACUUUGCCACCCAGGCUGGAGUACAGUGAUGCAAUCAUGGCUCACUUGCAGCCUGGACCUUCCAGCCUCAAAUGAUCCUCCCACCUAAGCCUCCCAGGCAGCUGGGACUACAGGCUGUGCCACCACGCCUGGCUAAUUUGAUUUUAAAUUUUUGUUGGAGACAGAGUCUGGGUGCAAGUGAUUCUCUGCCUUGGCCUCACAAAAUGCUGGGAUUACAGAUGUGAGCUACUGCACCAGGCCUUAAUUAACCUGUUCUUGAAGAGUCAAUCAGUUAGUAUGUGGCUCAGUUGCAUAUAACCUAAACCCCAUAUAACAGUGGCUUCAAAAGACUGGGGUUGUGUGUUUGUUUUUGUGUAAAAGAAAUCUUGGGCUGGUAUAGAAGCUUUGGCCAUCAAAGAUCCAGGAUUUUCCCAUCUUUCUGCUCCGCCAUCCUUAGUGUGAAUUUCUCCCUUUAGAUCCCCGCCUUGUCUGCAGCCUGCAUGGAGUUCCCAUCCCAGCCACCAGGUCUAAGUUUCAGGCAUCGAGAGGGAGGAAGAGAUGUGGCUGGGCCCAGCACUAGCACAGUUUCCAGACAGACACUUGCUGCUCCAGAUACUUGCUGUUUUCUUCCCCGCUUUAUGUCUCCACGGCACUGAGAACCUGCCUCGUUGAAAGUGCAAGAAGAACCCAGAGUUGUCGUCUCUGGAGCUGGAACAGCUACCUCACUGCAUGGCCAUCAUCCCACUAUACCCUGAUAGAGUGUGGAGCCAGAAGUAGCUCCAGAGGAAUCAGCUAUCAUCAGAGCCUUUACUACCAAUUUGUAGUCUCAGUUGGAGUUGACUUCUGGUGAACUGGUGGACUGAGGCUGACCCAUUAAUCAACAGGUCUUACUAAGCACAUGUCCAGUACUAUGCUAGGUGCUUUGGACAACAGAGAAAACCCACGAAGGGUGUGCAUUCUAGGUAAGGAGUCAAAACAAAAUGCUUAAAGUUGGACUGAACUACCUAAACGAUUAGACAGGUUCAUAAAAAAGAGUAAUUCUGGGCCAAGCAUGGUGGCUCAUGCCAUGCACUUUGAUAGGCCGAGGCGGGCAGAUUGACUGAGAUCAGGAGUUUGAGACCAGUCUGGCCAACACGAUGAAAACCCGUCUCUACUAAAAAUGCAAAAAAAUUAGCCGGAUGUGGUGGCGUGCACCUGUAAUCUCAGCUACUCAGGAGGCUGAGACAGGGGAAUUGUUUGAACCAGGGAGGUGGAGGUUGCAGUGAGCUGAGAUUGUGCCACUGCACUCCAGCCUGGGUGACAGAGCAAGACUCCAUCUCAAAAAAAAAAAAAAAAAAGGUAGUUCUGUAUAUGAUGUAUUUGGCAUUUGAAUAUUAAAUACUUGCUAUGUGCUAAAUUUCCUAUAUCAGGUGUCGAAAAUGUAGGGUGUCAAAAUAGGCAGGAUAAGCUAAGCUGUGCU
rnacentral:lncRNA from 1 species